rnacentral:miRNA from 1 species
AAUCACAGCCUGCUUUGGUCAU